CCUCCUUGUCUCUUCCUUUCUGCCUCUUGGUCCAUGGGCGUACGCCUGCACCAGCCAAGUCGCGUGAGGGAUGAAGGUUCUAUGGAUCGUAAACCUCUUUUAUAAGGGAAUAAAGUGCGGGACGUGUCCCGUUUUGUAUGUACCUUAUGAAUAAGGAUCGGCUAACUCCGUGCCAGCAGCCGCGGUAAUACGGAGGAUCCGAGCGUUAUCCGGAUUUAUUGGGUUUAAAGGGUGCGUAGGCGGCCUUUUAAGUCAGCGGUGAAAGUCUGUGGCUCAACCAUAGAAUUGCCGUUGAAACUGGGAGGCUUGAGUAUGUUUGAGGCAGGCGGAAUGCGUGGUGUAGCGGUGAAAUGCUUAGAUAUCACGCAGAACCCCGAUUGCGAAGGCAGCCUGCCAAGCCAUGACUGACGCUGAAGCACGAAAGCGUGGGUAUCGAACAGGAUUAGAUACCCUGGUAGUC
rnacentral:rRNA from 1 species